rnacentral:rRNA from 1 species
UACAGAGGGGGCAAGCGUUGUUCGGAAUUACUGGGCGUAAAGGGCGCGUAGGUGGCCUUCUAAGUUGAACGUGAAAUCCCUGGGCUCAACCCAGGAACUGCGUCCAAGACUGGGAGGCUUGAAUCCGGGAGAGGGAUGCGGAAUUCCAGGUGUAGCGGUGAAAUGCGUAGAUAUCUGGAGGAACACCGGUGGCGAAGGCGGCAUCCUGGACCGGGAUUGACACUGAGGCGCGAAAGCUAGGGGAUCAAACAGG